AGACAAGGGACACAAGAAAAUGUUGGUC
rnacentral:sRNA from 1 species